UGGGGAAUAUUGGACAAUGGGCGAAAGCCUGAUCCAGCCAUGCCGCGUGUGUGAAGAAGGUCUUCGGAUUGUAAAGCACUUUAAGUUGGGAGGAAGGGCAGUAAGCGAAUACCUUGGUGUUUUGACGUUACCGACAGAAUAAGCACCGGCUAACUCUGUGCCAGCAGCCGCGGUAAUACAGAGGGUGCAAGCGUUAAUCGGAAUUACUGGGCGUAAAGCGCGCGUAGGUGGUUCGUUAAGUUGAAUGUGAAAGCCCCGGGCUCAACCUGGGAACUGCAUCCAAAACUGGCGAGCUAGAGUAGGGCAGAGGGUGGUGGAAUUUCCUGUGUAGCGGUGAAAUGCGUAGAUAUAGGAAGGAACACCAGUGGCGAAGGCGACCACCUGGGCUCAUACUGACACUGAGGUGCGAAAGCGUGGGGAGCAAACAGG
rnacentral:rRNA from 1 species